CACGUAGGCGGAUCGGAAAGUUGGGGGUGAAAUCCCGGGGCUCAACCCCGGAACGGCCUCCAAAACUAUCGGUCUAGAGUUCGAGAGAGGUGAGUGGAAUUCCGAGUGUAGAGGUGAAAUUCGUAGAUAUUCGGAGGAACACCAGUGGCGAAGGCGGCUCACUGGCUCGAUACUGACGCUGAGGUGCGAAAGUGUGGGGAGCAAACA
rnacentral:rRNA from 1 species